ACAGCUCACACUUGGAUCUCCAGAAACCCUACUCCACCCAAAAUUCCAAUCCCAAUUCCUCCAUGUUUAACAACAACAACAACAACAGCAUACCAAUCUCACUCUCCGACGAAGAAUCCGACGAACUCGGCCGGAUGCGAGUCCGUGUUCGCCGGAAGCGCAAGAAACUCGGCUACCGAUUCAAGAACGAGUUCCUCCGCCGAGUGGUGAGGAGUCUGGUCAAGUACUGGGCCAUCCUCAUUCUUGCGCUCGCCAUCGGUUUGCUGCUCUAUGAGGCCUGGAGCAUCGGCUGGAAAUCCACCCCGCCGGUGGUCAAGUCGGAGAAGCCGAGUCCGGUGAACAAUGCCAGCUCGGAGAAGAAUUCCGAGGCCAAUUUGAAUCGGCUUGAUCCCACCACUCGGAUUAUCCACGGCGUUCGGCAGCGUUGUUUGCCGAUUUUACCUCCGGAAGAAAUUGAGCAUUUGGAAGUGCCUUUGCGUGGAGAUUCCAGUAGUCCUGUUAAGAAGUUGUUGUACAGAACAGAGAAUGAUGCCCCGUUGUACAACAGCAUGCCGGAAGAGCAGGAGGACGCGGCGAGAUUUAAUUUGUUUACUGGAAAUCAAACUUUAAAGCAGAGAGGUGAAAUGUUUAAGGUGAACGAAACCGUUACUAUAAACUGUGGUUUCUACAGUGAAAGUGGUGGGUUUAGGAUCACAAAUGAAGACAAGAAAUACAUGCAAAGCUGUGACAUUGUAAUCUCCACUUGUGCAUUUGGUGGUGGAGAUGAUCUUUAUCAACCCAUUGGAAUGUCAGAGGCGUCCAUUCGAAAGGUUUGCUAUGUUGCUUUUUGGGAUGAAGUUACUGUAAGUACUCAGGAAUCAGCUGAACAUAGAAUUGGUGAAGAUGGAUUUAUUGGGAAAUGGCGCAUUGUGGUUGUAAGGGAUCUGCCUUUUGUGGACCAAAGGUUAAAUGGAAAAAUUCCAAAGAUGUUGGCGCAUCGCCUUUUUCCUCAUUCAAAGUAUUCCAUUUGGGUAGAUUCAAAGUCCCAAUUUAGGAGGGACCCUUUAGGUGUUCUAGAAGCGCUUCUUUGGCGUACCAAUUCUGUACUAGCAAUCUCAGAACAUGGAGCUCGCAGUAGCGUUUAUGAUGAGGCAAAGGCCGUUGUCAAGAAAAACAAGGCCAAACCGGAAGAAGUUGAAGUGCAGUUGGCUCAUUACCGUCAUGAUGGAUUGCCAGAAGACAAGAGGUUCAAUGGAAAGAAAGCUCUUGCUGAAGCAUCUGUUAUUGUGAGGGAGCAUACCCCAUUGACUAAUAUGUUCAUGUGCCUCUGGUUUAAUGAGGUGGUUCGUUUCACUUCUCGCGAUCAGCUCAGUUUCCCAUAUAUACUGUGGAGGUUGAAAGUACUCAAGAACAUCAACAUGUUCCCUGUAUGCACCCGCAAAGAUCUUGUUAAUAGUAUGGGCCACAUACGCAAGGCUAAGCCUUUGAUAAUUUGACUCUUGGGUAGUGCUUCCACAUCUCAAUUCCUGAAUAGAAUUGCCUUCGGAACUCGAUCUUGUGUUGCAACAAACCGACAGCCAAUUUUAGUUGUGAGAGCCCACAAUCUAGUAUGCAUUAGAAACUACAGGAGUCGCGUUAGACAGUGCAAGGUAUGCUUAUUGAGAUAUGGAAGACUGGUUCAGGAGAGUGAUCAUGUAGGGUUAUUAUUGUGUGAUCAGA